GCCCUUUGUACACACCGCCGUCGCUCCGACCCAUUGAAUGAUCCGUGAAUGUUUCGGAUCGCGGCGACGUGGUGUUUCUGCCGCCCCGCACGUCGCUAGAAGUCCACUAGAACCUAUCAUUUAGAGGAAGGAGCAGUCGUAACAAGGUUUCCGUAGGUGAACCUGCGGAAGGAUCAUUG